GGCAGGCUCUCCAGAGGUGAGAUUCUGGGACUCUGAGUCUGGAAAAAACAUUACUGGAAACUAGGAUCAGGGAAGAAGCUGUCCCCUCUCGUCAUCCUCAGCCUUCAUUCAUGCUGCCACUGUAGAGCAGUCAUAUAGACUCUGAGCAUGACAUCCUCAGUGUUAGACAGAGCUUGUCUGGGGUCACAGCAUGGUGAGAAAAUGAGCCAGAACUGGAUAGAGAGGCGCUGGAGAGGACAGAGGGAGAGAUGUUGGUUAACACUCAGUAAGGAGGCUGCCCAAUCCAUACUUGAGCAUGCGAAGCCUGGCAUCA
rnacentral:lncRNA from 1 species